UACUGGUCAAAGAAAAUGCAAAUUUUUAAAACUUAGAAUAAUAUAAUUGUCCUCUCCACAAUUUGCAACAGUUUAUGGUCCCACCAGCAAUAUAAAUGAGUAUUAGUGAGCCCUCAAACCAUCACUGAGUACAAUAGACUCUUGGAACUUCCCAGAAGGUUCCUAACAUGUAGUAACUGGUAACUGGUUGAGACAGGAGUGGGAAACUGUCACGACUGAUGUGAGGCGAUCACUUAGCACUCUAUGAGUCUAGCUGAAGUCUCAGAGUCUCCAUUUGGUGAAGGAGCUCUGAGCAGAGCCUUGCUGACUUUACCCUGCGGUGUGGCUGCAUCUCAGUACUGCCUCCAUCCAUCAGCGCAUUACUGGGCAGCAGCAGUCAUCGACACCCAUCAUCAUCCCUGAAUUUUUGUACAUUCAGGUCCUGUAUAACAGUGGAACUACUGAUAUCAGUUGCUCUGAAGGACCCCACUGACUCAGCUGAGCAGAGGAACACCACGAGCAGCUGACUCACCAAAGAAGCCUGGCACUCAGCAUUUGCUCCACAGCUAAAGCUGGCUUCCCUUCAUGAGACACAUCUGCUGCUCAGUCGCAAGGUGCCCAGCCUUCUCCGCACAGGUGUUAAGAGCUCCUGCAGGCCGGGCAUGGUGGCUUAUGCUUUAAUCCCAGCACUUUGGGAGGAGAUG
rnacentral:lncRNA from 10 species